UCUCAGCUUGAGCUCUUCUUUUCCCUUUUGGACGGCAACGCUCUCUGCGUGGCUCGCUCUCACUCGCGCACACGCACAAACCCGAUCAGAUGCUUCAGGAUCGGCCACUUUGCGAGGGCAACAACACGGGAGGCUUUGUAUUACUCCAGCUGGGGGAAGAUGUCCACGCGAUACUGCGUGGAAGUGCAGGAGGCUGCCAGGCAGGCUUCCCCGAACGUGCCCUAAUUUUGAAAGCAAGUGAAGAACAGAAAGAAAACAGGUGCCUGACAGGGCUGGCCGGGAAGAACUGCUGACCUGUCUAAAGAAAUAUUAUCUGCGUCUCCCGGAAUGGCAGGACAGAUGGUGCCCGUUCGCACCGCGGCGACUUCUCUCGAUGGCACACAGCGAGCGGAGCUGAUGAGUGCGCAUCUGGGACUGCAAGUGACCAACCUGGACCAACUUUUAAUUACCACACCGACCUGCCGAAGAAGCAAAACACCCUAAAAAAAAAAAAAAAAAAAGGGUAUAUAUACAUAGACCACCGUAUCGGCGUGACCCUGGGAACCCCAUGGCUCUCCUUGCCCCUUUCGUAGGAAGAAGAUUAUUUUCCAAAGGGGCGAGGAGAUGCGCAAGUUCAGCACCCGCCGCCUCCCCUCCUCUCCCCGCGGCGGCGCAGCCCCUGCACGGCGGGAGGCGGUCGGAGCACCGUGGCCGGAGCCCCUGAGCAGCGUGUGCGAGGAAAAGGCCGCGGGAGAAAGGCGGAGGAUUUGGGCUCUAUGGGAGGUGUGGUACGAACACCAGUGAGGGGGUGAACGCAAGCUCACGCGUGGGUGCUACAGGCUCCAGAGCCUGUUCGGCAGCUCCUCCACACGAAGCACAAAGAAAGGUCAGCAGCCUGAAGGAUGAACUCCUUUUCUUUCUGCCGUUGCCUUGUCAAUGCUUUGUUUGUCUUAACUUUUCCCUUCGUGGUUAAAUUAA